rnacentral:rRNA from 1 species
UGGGGAAUAUUGGACAAUGGGCGAAAGCCUGAUCCAGCCAUGCCGCGUGAGUGAUGAAGGCCCUAGGGUUGUAAAGCUCUUUCAGUGGGGAAGAUAAUGACGGUACCCACAGAAGAAGCCCCGGCUAACUUCGUGCCAGCAGCCGCGGUAAUACGAAGGGGGCUAGCGUUGUUCGGAAUUACUGGGCGUAAAGCGCGCGUAGGCGGAUUGAUCAGUCAGGGGUGAAAUCCCGGGGCUCAACCCCGGAACUGCCUUUGAUACUGUCAAUCUAGAGAUCGAGAGAGGUGAGUGGAAUUCCGAGUGUAGAGGUGAAAUUCGUAGAUAUUCGGAAGAACACCAGUGGCGAAGGCGACUCACUGGACAGUUAUUGACGCUGAGGUGCGAAAGCGUGGGGAGCAAACAGGAUUAGAUACCCGCGUAGUCC